CGCCCUGGCGGGCCUCGACUCCUCCUCGGCUGGGGGCCGCCGCUGAGUGAGCCCACAGGGACCCCGGCCCCCAGACACUCUUCCCGGAGUAGGCUGUUUCCCACCUUCGUGAGGACUCCACCUGCAGGAGAGGAGUUGGGAAAGGAGAUUUCUCUGCCCCAGGAACCACCCAGCAAGAGCUCUGGAGACCAGCCCUUUGGAGCUCCUUUCUGUUGCCGGAUAGGGUGCUGCCCGAUUCAUGAAUCGUUCGAUAAGACUCCACGCUGGGAAACGUUGGAGGUGCGCACAGGACUUCUCUCGGCCAGGACACGGUAACAGCACUCGGUGACUGCACGUUAUUCGGGCGCACAGCCUUGCUUGUCUUGUCAGAUGAAGGCUGGCGGAAAGACAAGGGCUCUCUGCAUUCUGAAGAGUUAGGCACGUGACCUCUGGCGCACCUGCUUAUCUUGCGUCUAAAGGAUGGCAGUCCCGGGAGCUAAAGCCAUCUCUACAAACGGCAACAUCUUACUAAAACCACCUAGAAUCGCAGUGGCUGUUACGAGGAACGUUCCAGUUAGAGAAGAUCACUUAAGAAGUGCACUUGGCAGCCAGGAUUCCCAAAUGAAGCAAACAGGCUGGGAUACGUUUUUUAAUCGGCAGGCAGAAGCCUCCACAAAGGUUCAAAGUUCCCAAAUAGCUUCAUUCAAAGAUUCACUGUGAAAGGUUAUUACAAAAUUAAGUAAGUAAUUUUUACUGCUUCCCUCUACCCUCCUUUAAAUCCUCUUUCUAGUAGUCUUAUGUCUGCAUUGCCUUUACAGGACUGUAAACAAAAGUCAGCCAAGUUAAUGACCUUACAGACACCUUGAUAUCACCUCUUAAAGGAGGGCCCCAUAGGGGACCCUCCCAGAGUUGACAAAACUCUUACAUUCUGGUAAAGUGCUACCUUAAACGGCCAAGGGAAAUUAAAAAUUAGUGACAAAUCUUGCCAAAUUGUGCUAAGUACCACAUCUACAGAUGGGACCCCGGAAAACUGGACAAACCAGCUAAGGGUGACGAUUCUUCCCAGAGUCAGCUCUCCUGGAUCUCUGAGUGUAGUGCCUGGUGGAGAAAGAGAAUAAACUUCACAGUGUCCCUUUCUAAAUCCAGGCCAUUGGGCAUUGAUCUUUGGGAGUGACUCUAGAGUUUUUGAAGAUAGUAUAUAUAUUUUUUUACAUCCUCUGAGGCCCAUGGGGUUGUUUAGUAUUGCCAGAAAUAUUUACCGUUUGUCCUGACUGAAACCUGACAAGAUAUUUGAAAAGAUUUAAUGACUCUGUGAUUAGAAAGUUGGCCAGAUUGGAGGGGCAUCUGGGUAGCUCAGUUGGUUAAGUAUCCAACUCUUAAUUUCAGCUCAGGUCAU